CAGGUCCCCUGGGACCACCGGGGCUCCCAGGGCUGCCCGGGGACCCUGGAGAUCAGGGUCCUGCGGGACGGCCGGGGCUGCCGGGAGCUGCCGGGAUCCGUGGCCCAGCAGGGACCAUGAUCAUGUUGCCGUUCCAGUUCGGUGGAGACUCCCUCAAAGGUCCCACUGUCUCUUUCCAAGAAGCCCAAGCCCAAGCCAUCCUGCAGCAGGCAAAG